GGUUUCAAAUUUUGAGGGAUAUAGAGAGAGAGGACUGCAAAACUAACUCUCCACCUUCUCAAACCCUACCCCCGAUUCUCUCUCACGCCACUCUCCAAUUUAGAACGGAUACAAUGAGUCGGAGGAGAAUGAAGAAUUGGAAUGAUGAAGACAAAGAUUAAACAAGGAUGUGUUCUUCUUGAUUGCUAUUUUGUUUUCUUCGAACAGAUCUGAAUCUGACGACCUUUAGUAUGAAUCGAAUGUUGUGUUUGAUUUUGCUCAUUGCGUGUGACGGCUAUCGAAAAAGAUUUGAAUGGAAAGAUGUCUUUGGUAUUGUUCGUUGAGAGUGACAUCCCUUCGAAAAAUGGGUUUGGUUGAUCUUGAGGACUUUUUAAAAGAACUUCAGAAUAAAGAGUAAGGUGGUGUUUGUUUUUUGGCCAGAAGCACUUCCGAAGCUGUUUAAUUUGGUAUCAUGCAGUUGAUUAUGCAGUAGACAUAAUAAAGGGUUGUGUGAUAAUCUUUCGAAUUGCUGGAGUGACAAUGUAUUUUCAAAAGCUAAUCUGAUAAACAUUGAACAAGUUAAUCCCAAUGCUAUGGAAAUUGGAUGUUUUAGUGACUGUUGAUUGUGGAGUAUAUCCAUGUCUUUUCCGAAUUAGUAAGGUGUGAUGUCUCUAUAGAGAAAACCGUGUAAGAGAAAGAUCGAAAUCACGACAAAUUGACAGGGACUGCACAAACCAGAAUAUGAAGACAACCAUAUCGCUAUAAACAAUAGUGGGGAUCCAAAUUGCUUGCUUGGAAUUCUUACCUAAGGUCUCCAUGUUCUCGAAUCUGAAACUCGAAAAUCUUAUUGAGUUGCUUGGUUACUAUGUUAAAAGGAGACAUUUGUGGCUUAUGAAUUUGCAACCAUGGGAUCUCUACAUGACAGUUUGUAUAACAUGCUGCAUUUGAAGGAGCCCUUAUAGGUGCUUGAGAAUUUUGGGAAAUUUUGUUGUGCCGACCUACGUAUAGCGUGAUAGCUAGUUACUAUUGUCGACUUGGAAAAAUCUAUCGGUUCCACCAUCAUGGUGACACUACAUCUUCGACUUUCUAUUCAGAAACUCCAAUAAGACCGCAGUCUAGUACCAGAUCUUAAUAAUCUUUCCUUUCGAUCCUUUGUGAUCAAUCUUUGAAUUUUGAAGAUGGUCAUGUUUGUUGAUGCAAUCAUCCGUUUUGAACAUGUCUUCACAUCUCUGUUAUGUUCAUUUUUGAGCGACGUAUGUGCUGAUUCUGAAUCAUGCACCAACUCGAUCUUGUUCAACUUUCCAAAGUGUUGGUCAUCAUUCUGAAGAACGCUUAAAUUAAGCAUGAACAUUAGGAACUCGACUAACCCAUAUCCUUUUGAAUCUUUUCUACAGUGAGUCAGUGACAACGCCUCCAACCCGAUAAUCUUUGAUUAUACACCUCAUAUACGAUUGACUACGUCUCUUUCAUUUGAUUAAGGGGGUGUUUGGCUUAGCUUUUUGAAACAACUAAUUGACUUAUUGGUUUUUUCAAGCCAAUAAGUCAAAAUAAUGUUUGGACAAGUGAAAAGGACUUUUUAAACAACUUUUUGUAUAAGGUUGAACGUAGUGGGGCUUGAUAUACCGCCCAAAAUGGAGAUCGCGCCAUUAUAGCGCCGGAAACACCGCCCCCAAGGGCGCUAUGCUCGAAAAUUUUUUUGAAGCGCGAUAAUCUUCGCGGCGUGAUGGUUCUUGAAUAGUUUUGGUUUUAUACAAACUUAGUCCCUGCAAAUCGGAGAAGAAGACAUAGGAGAGAAGAAGACAUAGGAUUCGGCCGGAAAAUCGAAUGCCAAGUCGCCGGAAAAUCGAAUGCCAACUCGCCGGAAAAUUGGAGAAGAAGACAGGAGGCGGCGGAAGGUAUUUGAUAUUGAAAGUUUUUGCUUAAUACACAUUUGGUCCCUGUUUUUGCUUAAUACACAUUUAGUCCCUGUUGUUUUUGCUUAAUACACAAUUGAUUUUGAAAGUUUUUGCUUUACACAAUUGCUUAAUACAUUUGGUCCCUGUUUUUGAAAGUUAAAAAAUAUGGCAGUUUUAAUACUUGUAAAAGUCAUAUUGAAAAGCCAAAGUUUCCUAGCUUUUCAAAAUGACUUUUCAAAAAGUCAUUUUCACUUGUCCAAACAUUAUUUUGACUUAUUGGCUUUUUUUUUUUUUUUGUUUUUGUUUCAAAAAGCUAAGGCAAACACCCCCUAACCAUUAUUAAUGUUCCUAAUACAACUAUAAGCUUCGAGACAAGUUCGUGUCCCUACUCCAUAAAGGUUGUAGUACUUUAUC
rnacentral:lncRNA from 1 species